rnacentral:rRNA from 1 species
UAAUUUAUUCUUAAUCCAACAUCGAGGUCGCAAUCAAUUUUAUCAAUAAGAACUCUCCAAAAUUAUUACGCUGUUAUCCCUAAAGUAACUUAUUUUUAUAAUCAUUAAAAAUGGAUCAUUUAAUUCAUAAAUUUAUGAAUAAUAAUUAAUAAAAGUUCUAUAAAUUUUAUUAUCACCCCAAUAAAAUAAAUAAAUUAUUUAUUUAUCAAUUUAAAUAAAAUUAAACAAACAAAUUUUAUUAUAAAGAUUUAUAGGGUCUUCUCGUCUUUUAAUAAAAUUUUAGCUUUCUAACUAAAAUAUAAAAUUCAAAUAAAUAAUUUUAAUGAAACAGCUUAUAUUUCGUCCAACCAUUCAUUCCAGCUUUCAAUUAAAAAACUAAUGAUUAUGCUACCUUUGCACAGUCAGUAUACUGCGGCCAUUUAAAAAUUCAUA